rnacentral:rRNA from 1 species
UACGUAGGGUGCAAGCGUUAAUCGGAAUUACUGGGCGUAAAGCGUGCGCAGGCGGUUUUGUAAGUCUGUCGUGAAAUCCCCGGGCUCAACCUGGGAAUUGCGAUGGAGACUGCAAGGCUAGAAUCUGGCAGAGGGGGGUAGAAUUCCACGUGUAGCAGUGAAAUGCGUAGAGAUGUGGAGGAACACCGAUGGCGCAAGGCAGCCCCCUGGGUCAAGAUUGACGCUCAGG